CAUGUACAUAGUUUCAAGUGACAUCAAUCUUUAUGUCUAGUAUAUACAUGUGUAUUGAUCUAUAAGUCAGUGUUAAAAUAACAAACAAAUGGCAGAAGAAGGAAAGAAGAUUUUCUUCGGUUUUGCAAAAUCUAUUAAGAAAUCUAUUAAGAAAAAAUGCUAUUCCACAAGAAAAAAAGAAAGUUGAUUACAUUGAAUGCCUUGAUGAAAAAGGUAUUAAAGUAAUAGGUGAGGAAGAAAAAAAAGAUGAAUCGCUAAUUAUUCCAUUACUAGGUUCAAAAACCUGGCAUGAUAGAAUUCUUAAUAAAAUAGAUGCAGACAUUUUCCUUCCGAAGGCAGAUAAGGAAAAGGUAGGAGACGCUAGUGUUAACGAGGCAAAAUCAAAGCUAUCUAAUGGAAAAACAUCGCCAAUAAUAUCAAUAAAGAAAGAGCCAGUUGAAGAUAGUGAAAAUAAAGUUGUUACUUUAGAAGAGCAAGCGGCGGAAGAAAUCAUUGAGGAACUUAAGUCAAAGAAUGAACAUGAAACUAAAACAAAUGAUUUAACUUUACCUUUAGUAGAAGAUGAAUCAUUAAGAGGCAAAGAACAGUCUACGUUAGAAGGUUAUGAAAAAAUUCCUAUUGAUGCUUUUGGUGUAGCAAUGUUACGGGGAAUGAGAUGGCAACCAGGAAAGGGAAUUGGUUGAAAUGAAAAAUUAGUAGCAGCUGUCAUACCAGAAUUACGACCAAAAGGUAUGAAAAUACAGAUACCAAAAAAGAAGAGGAAGAAGUUAAAAUCGAGAAAGGAACAUUUGUGAAAAUUAUAGCUGGAAAACAAAGUAAUAAUUAUGGUCAAAUAGAAGGAUUCGAUGAUGAUGCAGGAAGGCUCAUAAUAAAACUAGCUCUUGGUGGAAAUAUAAUAUCUGUAAAUGAAUUUAUGAUACAAAAAAGUAUGAGGAAUAUAAGGACAAGGAAUCCAAGGGACUCAAGCAAAAGAUGGAUAGAAAAAGAUCAAUGUCCCCUGACCCCGAAGACGGUGAAGAUAAAACGGUGAAGAACAAAAGUAGUAAUAAAAGAAAGAAAAUCGGAAGUACGAUGCGCAAUAAGAACAAGUAUGAUAAAGUGGGGGAUAAAAAAUCAGAAAGACGAAAAAGGCGCUCCGAAUCUAAUGAUGACAGCGAUAGUGAUUCUGAAAAGAAGAGACGGAGAGAAAGAAGUAACUCUAAUAGUAAUGAUUCUUAUAAAUUAAAAAGAUUGAAGAAGUCAAAGAAACGUAAGAAGUACGAUUGCUCGUCUGAAAGAUCAAGUAAAAAACGAGACGACGAGAAAGAUCAAGAUCUCGAUCAUUUAGUAGGCAGUAAUAUUUUCCAGGAACGUAUUCGGUCAUUUUACUUUCAAGAUAAAUUGUAUAAUUUUAUUUAUACAGAUUUUAUAAUAAAGUGUAUUUUUACAAAA